CCUCUUCCUGGGCGCCCGCGGCUCUCGAGAGAACUGUGCCAAGUUCCUCCUUGGAGAGACAACCAGAUGGACACCCAGAACUUUCCCUACCUUCGUGUCGAGGUUGUCUCAAGUUCAUGUGGGAAAUAGUAUUGUUAAUUUUUAGGAUGAAAAUCUGGUUAAGAUAAAUGUAGACAUCGACAAGCACAAUCUACAAAAAGGAGAGAAAAGGAAAAGAAAUAACCUACUGGUGGUCCCCAAAGGGG